UACAGCCAUAUUGCAUUGAAACACUGGUUCUUGCAUGAUCACCAAAGUUAAGCACUGUUGAUCCUGGUGAGUACUUCAAUGGGUGACCACUUGGGAAUAUAAGGUGCUGUAAG